rnacentral:sRNA from 1 species
GUUUCUGAGCUGCUUUUCUUUUCCCCUGUAGGUUAAUGGCACAGAUGCAGAUUAUGAAUAUGAAGAAAUCACACUUGAAAGGGGAAAUUCAGGGCUUGGUUUCAGCAUUGCAGGAGGUACGGACAACCCACACAUUGGAGAUGACUCAAGUAUUUUCAUUACCAAAAUUAUCACAGGGGGAGCAGCCGCCCAAGAUGGAAGAUUGCGGGUCAAUGACUGUAUAUUACGAGUAAAUGAAGUAGAUGUUCGUGAUGUAACACAUAGCAAAGCAGUUGAAGCAUUGAAAGAAGCAGGGUCUAUUGUACGCUUGUAUGUAAAAAGAAGGAAACCAGUGUCAGAAAAAAUAAUGGAAAUAAAGCUCAUUAAAGGUCCUAAAGGUCUUGGGUUUAGCAUUGCUGGAGGUGUUGGAAAUCAGCAUAUUCCUGGGGAUAAUAGCAUCUAUGUAACCAAAAUAAUUGAAGGAGGUGCAGCACAUAAGGAUGGCAAACUUCAGAUUGGAGAUAAACUUCUAGCAGUAAGUAUAAGAAAUCUAUUGUCUUUUAAAUCAUUUUGUUGUCUGUUUUUUUUCUGACAGAUACUGGAAUUUCUCCAUACCAAAAAGGUCUAAAUGAUGUUUAAAUUAGCAAAUACUAGCCUUGCUGUAUCAAAUCCUAAAAAAUGAUUCUUGGUAAUGUCUUUAUUUGUCAUUUCUGUUUUCUCGGCUAGCUCCUCCCUUUUCCUUUUAUUCCU